rnacentral:rRNA from 1 species
AACGAACGCUGGCGGCGUGCCUAACACAUGCAAGUCGAACGGAUUGAAGGGGCUUGCUCCUUCAGUUAGUGGCGCACGGGUGAGUAACGCGUAGAUAAUCUGCCUGAUGAUCUGGGAUAACAGUUCGAAAGGACUGCUAAUACCGGAUAAGCCCACGUGGUCUUUGGACCGUGCGGGAAAAGGGGGGGACCUUCGGGCCUUCUGUCAUCAGAUGAGUCUGCGUACCAUUAGCUAGUUGGUAGGGUAAUGGCCUACCAAGGCUACGAUGGUUAGCUGGGUUGAGAGAACGAUCAGCCACACUGGAACUGAGACACGGUCCAGACUCCUACGGGAGGAAGCAGUGGGGAAUUUUGCGCAAUGGGCGAAAGCCUGACGCAGCAACGCCGCGUGAGUGAUGAAGGCUUUCGGGUUGUAAAGCUCUGUUGAGGGGAAAGAAGUGUAUUGUGGUUAAUACCCGCGAUACUUGACGGUACCCCUAAAGGAAGCACCGGCUAACUCCGUGCCAGCCGCCGCGGUAAAAC